rnacentral:rRNA from 1 species
AAUCAACGCUGGCGGCGUGCCUCAGACAUGCAAGUCGAACGAUUAAAGCUCUCUUCGGAGAGUGCAUAGAGUGGCGCACGGGUGAGUAGCACGUAAGUAAUCUACCCUCGGGUGGGGAAUAACGUCCGGAAACGGACGCUAAUACCGCAUAAUGCAGCGGCACCGCAAGGUGACAGUUGUUAAAGGAGUAAUCCGCCUGGGGAGGAGCUUGCGGCAGAUUAGCUAGUUGGUAAGGUAAUGGCUUACCAAGGCUACGAUCUGUAACCGGUCUAAGAGGACGGUCGGUCACACUGACACUGAAUAACGGGUCAGACUCCUACGGGAGGCAGCAGUCGGGAAUUUUGGGCAAUGGGCGAAAGCCUGACCCAGCAACGCCGCGUGAAGGAUGAAGUAUUUCGGUAUGUAAACUUCGAAAGAAUAGGAAGAAUUAAUGACGGUACUAUUUAUAAGGUCCGGCUAACUACGUGCCAGCAGCCGCCGUAAAAC